rnacentral:sRNA from 1 species
UUCACACCACUGAAGACAUAAGUCCUUUGUUUAUUUGUAGAAGCGGUCCAACAGGGGAUCCAACAGCUCGGGCUUUCUUGCACUGUUCUGCCAAUGUACCUCAAUCCUAAUCUAGACGGACCACCUCUAGGGAUCACAAGGAAGUUCAGUUCAUAAACUGAGCUUCUCUCUCCA